rnacentral:lncRNA from 1 species
GGAAGGUAAAUGGCCUUCUGGGAGCCUUUGGAGUAAUCACCUUCCUGGGUGCCAGGAGGGUGCCAACCUCAGCCAGUCUUGGCACUUCAGGGGGCCAAGGACGUGCUCGCCCGCAUCCAUCUGUCUGCCCUGCACGUCCAUCAGGGACCCCACAUGCCUCCUCCCGGUGACGACCCCCCGCCCACCCCACAAGACAUUCAGAGUGGAUUCGGCUUUCUGGAAGACACUGUGUGUUGUUGAGCAUUAAUUACUGGACACUUGGAAUAAUGUGUUCCGGGAAGUUUCACAGCUAUAUUUAGUCUGGCGGUUUUUCAAGCCAACUGACAUCUCCCUGAGCCUCAAAGGAGAAGAAUUGAGUGUCAGGCCCCAUCCUGGCGCUCGAUCUGCACCCAAGGCCAGCGCCAGCGUCCCGGGGCAGGGCCCUCCUGCUAGAGACCUGGUGUGUACUCGGUUUUCCUGUCUGUGAUGCUCAUGUCAACCUGUUGGUUCCAACUGCAACCCACCAGCGCCCCCAGCAUUCCUGCACCCAGGAGGCCGGUAUCUGAGGCUCUGCAGACUUCCCAGGGCCUCUGUCAGGGGUGCUGUGUGUCCUGUCCCAGGGCCCAGGUCGAGGUCUAACCAUUUUAAAUCUCCAUCUGAACAGCACUCACAGGGGACAGGAGCCCUCAGUAAACUCCUGUCGCAAACGACCCCUGCCAACUUCCUGUAUCUGUAGCCCGGCCCUAAAAAUAGUCUUGGGAUGGGGGCGGGGACUGUGUGAGGCAGGAUUUCACCUUGAGAAGGCACAGUGGGGGAAGACAGGAG